rnacentral:rRNA from 1 species
UACAGAGGUCUCAACCGUUGUUCGGAUUCAUUGGGCGUAAAGGGUGCGUAGGCGGUCGCGCAAGUCGGAUGUGAAAUCUCAGGGCUCAACCCUGAAACUGCAUUCGAUACUGCGUGGCUAGAGUGCUGGAGAGGAGACUGGAAUUUACGGUGUAGCAGUGAAAUGCGUAGAUAUCGUAAGGAACACCAGUGGCGAAGGCGGCUCACUGGACCGGAACUGACGCUGAGGCGCGAAAGCGUGGGGAGCAAACAGG